GAUGAACGCUGGCGGCGUGCCUAAUACAUGCAAGUCGAACGCGCAGCGAGAGGUGCUUGCACCUUUCAAGCGAGUGGCGAACGGGGUGAGUAACACGUGGAUAACCUGCCUCAAGGCUGGGGAUAACAUUUGGAAACAGAUGCUAAUACCGAAUAAAACUUAGUAUCGCAUGAUAUCAAGUUAAAAAGGCGCUACGGCGUCACCUAGAGAUGGAUCCGCGGUGCAUUAGUUAGUUGGUGGGGUAAAGGCUUACCAAGACGAUGAUGCAUAGCCGAGUUGAGAGACUGAUCGGCCACAUUGGGACUGAGACACGGGCCCAAACUCCUACGGGAGGCUGCAGUAGGGAAUCUUCCACAAUGGGCGCAAGCCUGAUGGAGCAACGCCG
rnacentral:rRNA from 1 species